rnacentral:rRNA from 1 species
GACGGAAGGUGCAAGCGUUGCUCGGAAUCACUGGGCGUAAAGGGUGCGUAGGCCGCACGGUAAGUCAGAGGUGAAAUCCCGGAGCUCAACUCCGGAAUGGCCUCCGAUACUGCCGUGCUCGAGGACUGGAGAGGAGUCUGGAAUUCACAGUGGAGCAGUGAAAUGCGUGGAUAUUGUGAGGAACACUAGUGGCGAAGGCGAGACUCUGGACAGUUCCUGACGCUGAGGCACGAAGGCCAGGGGAGCAAACGGG